AUUGAACGCUGGCGGCAGGCCUAACACAUGCAAGUCGAGCGGAGCGGCGGACGGGUGAGUAAUGCCUAGGAAUCUGCCUGGUCGUGGGGGAUAACGUCCGGACACGGGCGCUAAUACCGCAUACUAUCAGAUGAGCCUAGGUCGGAUUAGCUUGUUGGUGGGGUAAAGGCCUACCAAGGCGACGAUCCGUAACUGGUCUGAGGGGAUGAGCAGUCACACUGGAACUGAGACACGGUCCAGAUGCCAACGGGAGGCAGCAGUGGGGAAUAGUGGACAAGGGGCGAUAGCCUGAUCCAGCCAUGCGGAGUGUGUGAAGAAGGUCUGCGGAUUGGAAAGCACUAUAAGUUGGGAGGCGUUACCAACAGAAUAAGCACCGGCUAACUUCGUGCCAGCAGCCGCGGUAAUUC
rnacentral:rRNA from 1 species